AACAAAGGUUUCCGUAGGUGAACCUGCGGAAGGAUCAUU
rnacentral:rRNA from 1 species